AUUGUCCUGACUCUGGAUGUGGUUGUUUUAUUUACACACAGGUUUCCUUAUUAAAGGCUUAAUUCGUUUCUUUUCCUGUGGGGAAACACUGUGAUUAUUCAGGACUAGAAACGCGCACAGUUCGGAUCAUUAUGUUUAAAAUGAUUCCGGAGCUGAACAAUGCGUCGGUGCAUAUGAGAGACUGAGGACGAGUGGAAACCAUCAUCAGCAACAUGCAGAGAGCAGGAGCUUCUACACUGCAGAUAUUCUUCACAACACCACUCUGAUUAGUGAGGAGUGUAAAGUAAAGGUAAAAACCCACCAGUGUUCAUGACGUGUAUGACGUUUCACACAAAACAUUGACAGAGAAAAGCAGACAGAAGAGGAAUCAGAUAUUUUUUCGUUGCUCACGUGAUUCUGUUUGAGACCUGAUUUCCUUCACUAAAAAUUCAUUUAAUUUUUCACUCCGCAGAUGUCAGAUUUGGUGGCUUACUAUUAUCCCAUUGAGAUCGACAGCUCGAAAUGUAGCAGACUGAAUCUGAGUGUUAAUGAUCAUUAACACUCAGAUUCAGUCUGCUACAUUUUAUUUCUUACUCAUUCAACAGAAUUGUGACAAACCAGCCUUUGAAAAACUGUGUGUGUGUGUGUCAGGUGGAUGUAAGCUCACACUUUGUUUAUCAAGCAGCGAAAUAGGAAAGACCAGCUGGCUCAGGCUGUUAGAGAUUCGGGUACCAUUUUGAGAGAAGGCUAAAGGUCUUUCUUUGACAUGCUGAAGGAGAACUCUGUCCCUCUGUGAUGUGGCACACACAGUUCAGGUUAAAUAAAGACACAUUACAGUUUGGAAAGGCCUAAAAGGGAGUGUCCCAUCAACAGGAAGCCAGUUUUAUAGCAUCCUGAAGGGGCGGAGUCGUCUGAUCAAGCAUGCAAGUAUUACAAAUCUUUUGUAUGUAGAUAUUUCGGUGAUUUGUAAAGGAUAAUGCCUUUGAUUACAGAUUUUAUUGUGGUGUGACUUGUAAAGUGAUAAGAUCUGUGAAGUGUAAAAUAUAGUGUUGCUAACAAAUGGAGUGUUCUGAUUGGUCCGUUUGAUCUGGGGACCAGGAUGAUAAAGAACAAAGGAAAUGUUGCAGAGGGACAGAGGGGUGUUUGUUGGAACAGUAGCCAACAAUUUAGUUAUUCCCUUUUGUGUUUUGUUGUGUUGAGUUGUACUUUGAAUAG